rnacentral:rRNA from 1 species
AACGAACGCUGGCGGCAGGCCUAACACAUGCAAGUCGAGCGAGGACGUCGGUCCUAGCGGCGGACGGGGGAGGAACGCGGGGGAACGUGCCCUUUGCUUCGGAAUAGCCCUGGGAAACUGGGAGUAAUACCGGAUGAGCUCAUUGGGGGAAAGAUUUAUCGGCGAAGGAUCGGCGCGCGUUGGCUUAGGUAGUUGGUGGGGUAAUGGCCGACCAAGGGGACGAUGCAUAGCUGGUUUGGGAGGAUGAUCCGCCACACUGGGACGGAGACACAGCCUAGACGCCUACGCGAAGGAGCAGUGUGGUAUCUUAGACAAUGGGGGCAACCCUGAUCUCGCCAUGCCGGGUGAGAGAGGAAGGCCUUAGGGUUGUGAAGCUCUUUCAGCUGGAGAGAUAAUGACGGUACCAGCAGAAGAAGCCCCGGCUAACUCCGUG